GUGAACCAUCGAGUUUUUGAACGCAAGUUGCGCCCGAGGCCAGCUGGUCAAGGGCACGUCCGCCUGGGCGUCAAGC
rnacentral:rRNA from 1 species